UACGUAGGCAGCGAGCGUUGUUCGGAGUUACUGGGCGUAAAGAGUGUGUAGGCGGUGCUCUAAGUUCGGUGUGAAAUCUCCCGGCUCAACUGGGAGGGUGCGCCGGAAACUGGAAUGCUUGAGCGUGGGAGAGGAAAGCGGAAUUCCUGGUGUAGCGGUGAAAUGCGUAGAUAUCGGGAAGAACACCCGUGGCGAAGGCGGCACUCUGGGACGGUACUGACGCUGAGACGCGAAAGCGUGGGGAGCGAACAGG
rnacentral:rRNA from 1 species